CAGAGAGCGCAUAUUCCGAUCUGCCUUAUUUAAAAAAUAUCAUUGUUGCCCACACUAAAAGGUUUACUGCUAGGGAAAAGGGAUAUUUCCAUACCCCAUAUACCAUAUGUCGUGCAGAAAUCU